AUUAAACACACAGUAAACAUUAUAUCUAUUCCACUAUAUCACAUGAAGACAUCUAAGCACAUAAAGAGAUACAUUUAAUACAUUUAGAGGUAGUUUUAUCAAAAAGGUUAAUGUGCGAGCCAGAAAUGCUCAUGUGUGUGUGUGUGUGUCUGUGUAAUGUCGUCGUGCUGUGAGUAAAAAGGCGGGUGUUUGUCUUUCCUUUGAGGCUCACGAGAGUAUCUCUGGACCAUCUCGAAGGUGUAAUAAAUGUCACUAGGGCUGGGAUGUUGUCGACAUCGCGGCGCCCGAGUGGGGAGUUAUGUUGGAGGAUGUUGUAAAACAAAAGUCCUUAUCUUUUUUUUUAAGUUCUUGUCUCUGAGUGCAGAAUGUGUUAGAGAGUAAUAUGAAACAGAUGGUUGAAUACCAUCCGCUCAUUAGUGUUACACACCUGUUACAGGUCCACAAUGAAACAUUCAUUAAUUCAACUUGUGAGUUACCCACUAAUGGGUCAAGAAAAACCUCAGGAUGAUCAAGCCUAACAUUAUCUUGGACCAUUAUGAUGCCUGGUACACCAUAAAAUGACCUGAUCCUCAAAUCUCUUGUUUGGAGUCAAUAUGUCUCUUCAUCACACAAAACAAAAUACAAUAGAAUACUCCUUAAAACAGAGAAAGAAAUGACCCAGAUCUCUUUUUCAAAUGAUUCCCUAAACCUUGGAGGUUAAAAGGCUUCUGAACCAUUGACUCAAUUAAUCUGUUCACUUUCUUAACAAACUCUACCUGCCCUUGUUCUGACACCCUGAACAUCAGGAACUGGAACUUGAGUGUCAGUGUCAGUUUGAAUGUCAGUCUGAACUUGUGUAGGUGUAAGUGUGUCCAUGACACAAUCAAGGUUAACAACAAGAGAUGUUGGACUGGUUUCAGCUUCCCCGCUACUAUUCUCUUUAGUCUGCAACUGACCACUGGAGUCUUUUCUAUCCAAAAUGUUAUGAUCUGUGCCCAUGGCUUCCUCAACAUCAAAGUUCUGGACUAGAGGGCUUUUAGACUCUUGGUUAACCCAUCUCAUGGUUCUUUCCUCCAGGUCUGGUGGAUUGACGUUUUCAUCACCAAACUCACUCCUAGCACUACAGGUCUCAUCCUCUGAUUCUCCUGCAGAAAGCAGGAAGCUUUCCUCCUCAUCAGGUGACUCAACAGAAUGUCGCUGUGCGAUCUCAGCAGCUUCAUAGAGGUACGACAUCAACGAUUUCAGGUAAGUACCAUGAUCAACAACUACAGGGUCAUGUAGUACCUGUCUGAACAUAACAUCCACCGGCAAUCUUGGUAUGCGACCAAACAUGAGCUGGAAAGGAGCAUACCCUGUUGUUUCAUGGACUGUAGCGUUGUAGGCAAAGGACAACGUUUGAAUUUGCUCUGGCCACUUGUGCUUCUCUUUUAGGGGCAGAGUUCAGAGCAUACAUUCUAAGGUCAAUUUAAACCUCUCUACCCCCCCAUUUCCCAUGGGGUGGUAUGCAGUGGUGUGAGACUUGGCAACUCCUGACAGUUUGAAAAGCUCCGUUAGAAGGGCACUCUCAAAGUUGGCUCCCUGGUCUGUAUGGAUGCGACUCGGGAAUCCAUACACACAGAAUACACGGUCCCACAGUUUUGUGAAAUGGUCCAUCAUGACAAGCACAUCAACGGAACGCUUUUUCCCAUCCUCCGCAGUCCAGAAAUCCAGACAUACCAGUUCCAUGGGCAUGGAGGUCUUGAUACUUUCAAGUGGGGCUCGCGCAUAUGGUUCUGGAGCCUUGGCUAGGAUGCACCUUUGGCAGCACUUGAUAUAUCCACAAAUAUCAUGCCCCAUUCCUGGCCAAAAGACUGAAUUAUCUGCACAGCUCUUGCUUUUCAUGUUUCUUCCCACUGAUCAUGUAAACUUAAGCAUGUCAGGGUUCUAAGGAGGAGGACCCAAUUGCAAUGAGUUAGUGAGUUAACAAUGGUUUAUUGACAAAACAGACUGAUACAAGAGGGUAGUGAAGUGCACAAAUACCACAACAGGAACACAGUAAACAGGAACAGCUAGGGAAGGCUACUGGGUCAGCUUCAGAAAACAACUCCCAGAAUACAUUGGCAACAGAGGGGGGCGGCAAGACCAGGCUGAUGGAGAAGACCACACAAGGCACCAUAGAGCAGAGCUCAGACAUUUGGUGACCGCCGACUCUGAAGCUGACCAAGUGCCAGGCAGGUAGAACCAGUGCAGGACACACGGGAACAGGUCAGGAACUCCAACACAAGA